CUGCCGUUCUGCCCUGCUGAAUUUGGGGAAAACAAGGCUGUACGCUUCUCCAUCGUGAGGCCAUGGCUGCUGCUCCCUCCUCUCCUCAUGGUCAGGCCAGCCCUUGUGGCCCACGGCCACAGUGCCCACCCAGGCAGGAGACCCCAGAGCAGAGUAAGGAAACCCAAUGUGCCUUUGAGAGAACCGUUUAGAAACUGCCCUCAACUGUCUUUAAAGCUGGAGAAGACCCUGAAGGUCACCCAAGUUCCUGAGGAUGCUGGGGGCAGGACCACCAUCAACAGGAGCGAGCAGCUGGAGGGACGGGAGGCAGCAUUGGGGACCACACGUCCCCCAUCUGUUACAGACCCACGGGUGCUUCCAGCCCCCAAAGGACGCUGUCCUUGGUAAGUGUCUCAAAACUAAGUUUCCUUAAGAAAAGAAGUUGGGAAUGUGAGCUUCUUUCGUGACAUCGUCAGGCUCAGGGGACUGCCUGCCUUCUCACCCAGACGGAGGCAGGACUGCCCCCAGUUAGCUCUGGGCUGGUAUGGGCAGGAUGGAAUGCACCACCAGGCUGGGCCAGCACCUGCAUGUCCUGCUCCCAGGAGACCCCACAACUGUGGGUGACUCUUCAGGGCCUGCUGGUCCAACCGAGGCAGCUGGGGCGGGGCACCCUGUCAGGCCUCUUCCUUGAGCUUCCGUCCUCGGUGACCUCUGAGGAAGGUGGAAAGUGGAGGGGGAGCAGGUGGUCUGAGCAGGCAGCUUCCUGGCAGGAAGUGGGGCUGCGGAGGCCCCACCCCUUUCUGGCACCUUCUGCCCACUCUGCCAGCGAGUCACAUCCCGGAAGGCCGUCCCCGGCCACUGUCUCAUCAUUCCUCAACGCGGACGUGGUCAGGACAAGGUGAUGGAGCCCAGGCAUUCGGACUCUACUCGGGUGGGACUGGAGCCAGCCCCCGUGAAAGGACCCUCUGACACCGGGAGGGGUUCGG
rnacentral:lncRNA from 1 species